rnacentral:lncRNA from 1 species
CUGGAAUUAUAACCAGGAGCUUCUGAACUGCAAUUUGAAGUAUCACCCCUGAAGUGAACACACUGCCCGGGACACUUUCCCAUCUGGAACUCCAGAUUGCUGUUAACGAGUGGAAUGGAUUCUUCAAAACCUUUACUAGCUCAUAGCCAAAAAGCUGACCUCGUUGCUCCCUUUGAGACAUUCUACUCACCCACAGCUCUUUGAAUUAAAGCAACGCUGCCUCAACUGCCUCAGUUCUCUGAAGCAAGCUGACAUGGGUUAUGGAAGAGAUAUUUUGCCUUGCAAAGUAAUUGAUCAGAGGUGAAGAUGAUGUCACAAGAAUAGAAA